GUCGGGGUACCCGAAUCGCCUAGUUCGGAGGGUUGUUUCCGAUCAUAGCAGAUAAACUGUUGAAAACAUCAUUGUUCGUUUUUAUUUUUGAACAAGUAGACUACACAAGUAUUUUUUACACAUACAUGUAGCAUGUAUACACUUACUGAUUUUCUGCCAGCAACGACAAGGGUAGCGUGAAUCCGGGAUUUUGGAGGGGAACCCAAAUUGCCCAGGCAUGCAGUGGAUAGACUAUACGAGACUUAAGUGCACAAACUUUUUUCCGUCUUUUUGAAAAAGCCAAAAAACACUUUUCUCUCAUCCCCACAAAAACAAAUCCCAUCAGCAUUGACAGUAAAAUAAAAGGGGUGUCAAUCUGGACACACUGGGACGUUGCGCACGGUGAUAUUGCGGCACCCUGGCCAAGAUUUACAGUAAAUGGGAAAACUUAAAAAAAGGACAUUUUGUAUAAAUGAAUAAACCUAGUUUUACAGCUAGCUGCAUAUUUCAUUUGUAUGCAAGUUGCAUUAAAUCUCAUUAAACUGAAUAAAACUAAAAGACACAAUAGGUAAAAGUCAGUGACAAUAAAAGGAAAAGAGCAGUCAACAUAGUGUAACAAUUCGACAUAGUAUAUAAAAAUAUAAAUAACUACGUAGGACAACAGGGUAAUUUAAUAGUCUAACAACCCCUGAUAACAUACAAAGAGAGAAAAAAAAACAUACUAGGAAACAUAUUCAAAAAAUCAUAACACUAUAACUAACUGGUGGGAUGUAUAAAUACCGAGCCGCGUCAAAGAGUAUUCAUCAAAAUACACAUAGAAAGAAACAGAGGUGAAGGUAAACCGCAAACAUAUAAUUAAACUCAAAACAUUAAAGAGUAUGGAAAAGCCUUGGUCUGACAAGCGAAAAACGUCGAUAAGACGC
rnacentral:lncRNA from 1 species